UACGGAGGGUGCAAGCGUUAUCCGGAUUUACUGGGUUUAAAGGGUGCGCAGGCGGAUAUGUAAGUCAGUGGUGAAAUCUCCGGGCUUAACCCGGAAACUGCCGUUGAUACUAUAUAUCUUGAAUGCCGUGGAGGUAAGCGGAAUAUGUCAUGCAGCGGUGAAAUGCUUAGAUAUGACAUAGAACACCUAUUGCGAAGGCAGCUAACUACGCGAGUAUUGACACUGAGGCACGAAAGCGUGGGGAUCAAACAGG
rnacentral:rRNA from 1 species